rnacentral:lncRNA from 1 species
UUUAGCUCACCUGGCCCACAGGGCCAAGUGAGCUUUUCCCAUCACUUGGCGUCCGGCGUCCGUCGUCGUCCGUCGUCCGUCGUCCGUCGUCGUUAGCUUUUACAAAAAUCUUCUCCUCUGAAACUACUGGGCCAAACUAAACCAAACUUGGCCACAAUCAUCAUUGGGGUAUCUAGUUUAAAAAAUGUGUGGCGUGACCCGGUCAACCAACCAAGAUGGCCGCCACGGCUAAAAAUAGAACAUAGGGGUAAAAUGCAGUUUUUGGCUUAUAACUCAAAAACCAAAGCAUUUAGAGCAAAUCUGACAUGGGGUAUAAAUGUUUAUCAGGUCAAGAUCUAUCUGCCCUGAAAUUUUCAGAUGAAUCGGACAACCUGUUGUUGGGUUGUUGCCCCUGAAUUGGUAAUUUUAAG